rnacentral:lncRNA from 1 species
CCCUGCCCUCACCUUGGUUUUGACCUUCUAGCCUCCAGAAUUAUGAAGAAAUAAGUAUCUGUUGGCUUAGUCCCCCAGUCCUUGAUACUUUUUUUCCGGCAGCCUUAGCCAGCAAGUGCAUGUGGCACAGGCUGAACUGCUCCAUCUGUUUCCGGACCGCGCUCUGCUUUUAGGGCUGUUCAUCUCAGACGCCCUGCUUCCCGGGUUAAUAUUCAUCUGUAGCCUGAGUGACCCCAAAAAGAUGACACUCUUCUGUCCACCAAAACCUUCCAGAGGCUUCCUGUGCUCACUUGAAGUAAAAUCCAAAGUGCUGACUGUGGUUACCAGCUCCCCGGGCUGGCCUGCUGCGGGACGGCUUCUCCACCAGCCUCCCGUUCAAGGCCUCCAUUUCUGCCACUGCGGCGUCUGCAUGGUUCCUGAGCAUCCCAAGCACAUUCCCACCUCAAGGCCUUGGUGCUUGCAGUUCAUCUGCUUCUCUCCUGGUCUAUGCCUGGCUGGUUCUUAUUUCUUUUGAAUUCGGACGAGGUGCACCUCAUGAGAGAGGCCUUCCUUGACCUCCCUCCUCCAUUCCUCUCACAGGCCCCAUCUGACAUGCUUGCCCUCCCCCUCCCCUACCCCCAUCCCCUUGUGAGCCCCAUGAGAGAAGGGCCUCUGUCCUUAGGUAGAUGUGAUUCCCCAGAACCCAGGACAGGACAGCCACACAGGAGGAAACUGACACACUUUUCUUAAAUGAUGGAAUAAAGUACUGACUGUGUUUCAAGCA